GCCGAUUUAGCUCAUCUGGUAGAGCAACGCAUUCGUAAUGAGUAGGUGGCCAGUUCGAGUCUGGCAUUCGGCACCA
rnacentral:tRNA from 1 species